rnacentral:rRNA from 1 species
CCUACGGGCGGCAGCAGUAGGGAAUCUUUCACAAUGGGCGAAAGCCUGAUGGAGCAACGCCGCGUGCAGGAUGAAGGCCUUCGGGUUGUAAACUGCUUUUAUAAGCGAGAAAUAUGAUGGUAACUUAUGAAUAAGGAUCGGCUAACUACGUGCCAGCAGCCGCGGUCAUACGUAGGAUCCGAGCAUUAUCCGGAGUGACUGUGUGUAAAGAGUUGCGUAGGUGGCAUAAUAAGUAGCUAGUGAAAUCUGGUGGCUCAACCAUUCAGACUAUUAGCUAAACUGUUAAGCUCGAGAACGUUAGGGGUAACUGGAAUUUCUAGUGUAGGAGUGAAAUCCGUAGAUAUUAGAAGGAACACCAAUAGCGUAGGCAGGUUACUGGGACGGUUCUGACACUAAGGCACGAAAGCGUAGGGAGCAAACGGGAUUAGAUACCCCUGUAGUC